CCUCUGCUGACAGUGAAGAGGUCAUGCUAAAUCAAACUGACGGAGAAACUGGACAUCAGCUUAGCCAGGAUGCCCAAAUUAAUACUACUGAAACAAAAGACAUAUGCCAGUCCAACAAAACUUAGUAUUUGUGAAACUAAGGUGACAAGGGAGGAACAUGGAAGAGCUGGCAAUAAAACUCACCUUUCAAGGAUCAAAACGGAAGACAUAACUUCUGAGAUAUUCUCCAUCUCUAGUGGCUAAUUUGAAUAUCCUAGGUUUUGAC
rnacentral:lncRNA from 1 species